rnacentral:rRNA from 1 species
AACGCGAAGAACCUUACCUACCCUUGACAUGUCUGGAAUCCUGAAGAGAUUUGGGAGUGCUCGAAAGAGAACCAGAACACAGGUGCUGCAUGGCCGUCGUCAGCUCGUGUCGUGAGAUGUUGGGUUAAGUCCCGCAACGAGCGCAACCCUUGUCAUUAGUUGCUACGAAAGGGCACUCUAAUGAGACUGCCGGUGACAAACCGGAGGAAGGUGGGGAUGACGUCAGGUCCUCAUGGCCCUUAUGGGUAGGGCUACACACGUCAUACAAUGGCCGGUACAGAGGGCUGCCAACCCGCGAGGGGGAGCCAAUCCCAGAAAACCGGUCGUAGUCCGGAUCGCAGUCUGCAACUCGACUGCGUGAAGUCGGAAUCGCUAGUAAUCGCGGAUCAGCUUGCCGCGGUGAAUACGUUCCCGGGUC